rnacentral:rRNA from 1 species
AGGACGAACGCUGGCGGCGUGCUUAACACAUGCAAGUCAAGGGGGCCCAGCAAUGGGCAACCGGCGAACGGGUGCGUAACACGUGAGCAACCUACCGAACUGUGGGGGAUAGCCGGCCUAACGGCCGAGUAAUACCGCAUACGCUCUCAGGGAGGCAUCUCUUUGAGAGGAAACCUACGGGACAGAUCGAGGGGCUCGCGGCCUAUCAGCUAGUCGGCGAGGUAACGGCUCACCAAGGCAACGACGGGUAGC